CCUCGGGACGCAGCAGUGGGGAAUAUUGGACAAUGAGGGAAACCCUGAUCCAGCAAUGCCGCGUGUGUGAAGAAGGCCUGCGGGUUGUAAAGCACUUUCGGUUGGGAGGACUGCUUCUAGCACUAAUAUUGUUGGAAGUUGACGUUACCUUCAGAAGAAGCACCGGCUAACUCCGUGCCAGCAGCCGCGGUAAUACGGAGGGUGCAAGCGUUAAUCGGAAUUACUGGGCGUAAAGCGCGCGUAGGCGGCUAGAUCAGUCGGGUGUGAAAGCCCCGGGCUUAACCUGGGAACUGCAUCCGAUACUGGCUAGCUUGAGUACAGGAGAGGAGAGUGGAAUUCCACAUGUAGCGGUGAAAUGCGUAGAUAUGUGGAGGAACACCAAUGGCGAAGGCAGCUCUCUGGCCUGACACUGACGCUGAGGUGCGAAGGCGUGGGGAGCAAACAGGAUUAGAUACCCUAGUAGUC
rnacentral:rRNA from 1 species